rnacentral:rRNA from 1 species
GUAGGCAGCGAGCGUUGUUCGGAAUUAUUGGGCGUAAAGAGUGUGUAGGCGGUGCUCCAAGUCUGUCGUGAAAUCUCCCGGCUUAACUGGGAGGGUGCGGCGGAAACUGGAAUGCUAGAGGGUGGGAGAGGUAAGCGGAAUUCCUGGUGUAGCGGUGAAAUGCGUAGAUAUCAGGAGGAACACCUGUGGUGUAGACAGCUUACUGGACCACUUCUGACGCUGAGACACGAAAGCGUGGGUAGCAAACAGGAUUAGAUACCCUGGUAGUCCACGCCCUAAACGAUGCAUACUUGGUGUGAGCGAUUCAUUUCGUUCGUGCCGGAGCUAACGCGUUAAGUWUGCCGCCUGGGGAGCACGGUCGCAAGGCUG